AUUCAUUAUUAUGAGGAUCAUUCAUGAAAAAAUUGGGAAUUUACUUCAGUAAGUGCCUACUGUUUGUACUUUUAUAUCAAACAUGUGGUGUUUACAAUCAUAUAUAUUCACAUUAAUGUUCUUGCAGCAUUACUUGUUGUCAUGAAAACCACGUUGGUUGUUAUUUAAGAUGGUAGAUGAUGAACCCAAUGAAAUUCUUGUUCAGCAUAUUAUUAUUCAUUUUCUGUGAAUAUGCUAAACUUGUUGAAGUUUUGUGAAGACUAACAGUGUACUUUGGAGAAUAAACUCUGAAGAAGACAUGGGUAUAUGAAUGAUGUGCAUAGUUUAAAAAAAGAUGUGAAUUGACAUAGGUAUACAAAAAGUGUGAAUCUGUUGUGAAAAGUUUAUUUAAAGAAAAGUGUGUGACAGUGCUGAAAGAAGAGACUCAGAUGGCACAGUAAUGAAUGAUAUCAAUAUUCAAUAUAAAAAGAACCUCAUCUUGAGCAAUAGAUGAGUAAUUGUUUAUUAAAUAGUAAAAAAAUAUUCAUAAGUAUUGAAAGCUGUUGAAGAAAUUAAAUUUAGUGUGCAUCUACUGAUGGUGCUCCAAUCAUCCUGCAUAUAAGGGGGACAACUGAUGUCCUUCCCUUCUCUUGUUCCUUUUGGUUGCCAUGUCUGUUUGUGUUAUAUAAGUUAGGUUUUUAUUGUGAGACAUGAGACAAUUAACUUAUCUUGAAAGAAAACAUUACUCUUACUUUAUUUAUGUCUGUUAUCUUUACAUUUAAUAAAUCACCACACCACUGCAAACAUGAUACUUAACAGGUUGUGGGCUCAGGAGAAUGCACUUGGUAACAAGACUUAGUACUACUUAAAUGCACUUGGUAACAAGACUUAGAUUAAAAUACUCAAGAUAAAUUUUUUUGUUAUUGUGGAUAUAUUUAAGAAAUAGUUAACCAGAUUGAUUUAUGAAGCAUAUUUAAAUUUGAUGGAUCAAAUUUCCAAGUAUGAAAGUUACAAACUCAAACUGUUCUAGUUAUAAACAGAUUGUUAGAAGUUGUUAAUGGUUUAGAACUGCAACCUGGAAAUGAUGCUUCUGAAGUGACAAAGAAGUUAUGGACUAAAAAUAAUACAAAAGUAAUGUUCAUAUUAUCAUCAUUGAUUCAUUCCCAAUUAGAAUAUUUGAUUACUUGUGAUCAGCAAAAAUCAUUUGAGAUAAAUUGUGCUCUGUUCAUGAACAAAAGAGCAAAACAAAUAAGUUAAUAUUAAUGACCAAGUUUCAUGAAUAUUGAAUGUCAUCUAGUGACAAUCAUACAGCAUAUAGCUAAAGUUGAAAAUAUUGCAAUUCACUUAAGAGAUGUUGGAAAGAAGAUUUCAGAAAUAAUAAUAAUGGCAAAAAUUUUAGGGAGCUUACUGUCUAAGUUUGAUGUAUUUAUUACCACCUGGACAGAGUUGAUCCAGAAAGACAAAUAUUUGAAAGUCUAACUUCACAAUUAAUUAAAGAGGAAAUGAGAAUGACUGCAACUGAAGAAAUAGCAAAUGCACUUUCCACAACUAGUAUUAAUACAGCAAAAUUGUUAUUUCAUUGUCAUUUUUAAAGAUCACAAGUCUGGAUUUAGAUCUAUAUACUUCACAAAACAUAAAUCCAAUGUUUUUGAUGUAUUUAAAGUAUAUCACUAUAUGGUUGACUUGUUGCAGUAUUUGAGUCCAUUAUCAAUACACAUUACUUGUAUCA
rnacentral:lncRNA from 1 species